GCGGUAUAGACGGACGGACGAAUGGACGCACAGACCAGAAAACAUAAUGCCCCUCUACUAUGGUAGUUUGGGCAAAAUACAAACUAAAAGUUACAGAAAACCCUGUACAUCGGCUGCGGGUGAUGAUUAAAGCGUUACAGUGACAUAAUUAAUGAUAGCAAAACAAAUACUAGUAUGCAGAUUAUAACCGUUUGGCAACCGCAGUUGCUGCUCAGUCUUUAAUUUUCUUUGCUGUUUUUUUUUACUUUUCUUUGUCGCGUUAUCGUUUUUUUUUUUUGUCAUGGCAUUGUCAGUCCGAAUAUCCCUUUGCUUUCUUUAUACUCUCUUUUUGUCUCGACCGCUUUGAUUUUUUUGUAUAGAAUGAUGUGUACAAUUUUUAUUUAUCGAUAAUAGCUUGCAAAAUAAAAGUCAAGAUGUCAAAACAAAUAGUUAAAAGCGUCAUUCAAGGGCAUUAUUUCAGUAGUCGACAACUUUUGUUUUACAUAUACUUAAGGCAUGACUGCUCUUCCUGUCUCGAUUUUCAAUAUAAAAUGAUAAGCUUAUGGAUUAAAAUCAACCAAAUUUUCAUUAUUUUAUAUCGUUUAAAAACUUCUAUCUGUAUCCACAAGUUUCAAU
rnacentral:lncRNA from 1 species